UAUUUAUUUAAUUUAAUUAUUAUUUUUGUCUUAUUUCAAGCAAAAACUGUGACCAUUAAAAGCAAGAAAUGAUAUCCAGGCAAGUUAUUUUCCUGGUGGAACAAUGUAGCUGUAAGAAAAUAGUAAAUUUCUUCAGGUGUGAACCCUGGUCAUCCACAUGUGAAACCUGGGAAUGAGUGUCCCAGGACUGACGCCUUCCUCAAGCUCAGCACCUAGAACAUAGAUCUGAUUGAGCUAAACUGGUGAUGCACCUGCUUCCCAGCAAGGUUGUGGCCUCUAAUGGCUGUCUCCUGCUCCUGUGUCCGUGGCCUGCUCAGGAUAUGGGAGACACUUAGGCUGAUUCCUCAGUGCCUUGUGUACUUCCAAGGCCGAGAACUUGCUGAGCAAAACAUAACUUCUUUACUUUUGUGAACACCUGGCCUCCAAAAGGCAGAAAUAUUUAGUGACAAUGUACUGAGGACAUAAUUCCUUAGUCAUUCCCUGACCUCCACUCUCUGUCACAGAGACAUGCGAAACCACGGUAUCAGGCUUAUGGGUCAUGAAUUGGCUGUGUCAAGAAGUUCUAGGCCAUGUGGGAAGACUCCUCUCUCCUCUGAGAUUUCUGCUUCAACCAACGGGGAGCGGCUUUCCUUCAGGUCUGAACUGAAACCCUAUCUCAGAAUUUCUCACUUCGCCAGUGUCUACACUAGUGGAUCUCAGAACAAAUUCUCAAGUCACUGAAAUUGUUUCUUGCCACGACAACGCUGUAUGGUCAUCUAGUCGUCCUUGCAGCAGCGGACGCCAGGUAACAACCAAAUGGAGGAAAAACCACCGGGACAGAUCUGCAUGGCACGGAAGAGAAGGUGCGCCUCCACCCGUCCGAACUCAUGCCCUCUGGCCCACCGCAGGUACCACUUCUCUCCACGGGUUGUCUCCUCGUCCACACGCGCGUUCAGAGGCCAUUCCGGUACGAGAUUCUCACGAGGAGCCUCUGACAACCGCGCCCACCCAGGACCGCGCAUCGCCUCGUGCCUUCUCACGACCAUCACCAGACGCCCCAGGCAGCUCCCCAUUUCCACAUUUGUUAGGCUUCUCCGACCACCAAGCCACAAGCGGAACCGUGGCUGCGCCUGGAGCGCCCUCCCCUCUCGCCCGCGACUGUCCUUGCUGUCACCUGUGGUGAGAGACCUGGUCCACACAAGCGCUUCGCCGACGAAGCCAGCAGAAGUGGGGACGCCGGGCGCUCCCCCUUAGACGCACUUCGGCCUGCAGGGGAAUACCGUCUGCGGAGCCGCAUGACCGCUUUUCGCGGAUUUCGGAGAAAGUAGCCGCAUGGGAGGAGCUCCACCACGGCGACGGGAGCGGGACGCACCGUUUUCCCAAGGCGGCCAAGAAGCAGCACCGGGCGUCCUAUUGGACGGGGCGUGGCGGUCCCGUGGGAAGGAGGACGUGAAGGCCGGGGUCGCACUUCCAGUGCCUCCUCGUUACGCCAUUCGGGCCCUACCCACUGCGGAGAAAAACAAAUUUGGGAAUAAGGGCGAAGGGGAUCGAGAGAGAAGACCGCCGGAAACUUGGCGGCGUCCACGUCCGUAGGAGACUUAGAACCUCUCAGGCGACACUUGGCAAGCGGAAGUACGACCACCGGGCCACACGGACGACUCCGGGGAUGGAUACCCCCUCUUAACCACGUGCUUCAAUGUGGGCGUUUCACGCGCAAGGGACACAAGGGAGUGCCGGUCGAACCGCCCAGACCCACCACUCAACGACUUUAAGGGAGCGCAGCGCCGUCCUCACAAUAGGCAUGUCUGCCCGUCCAAACCCCCGAAAGAAGCAUGCGCCCAUGCCCCGGAGACCGGGACCCAAGCGCGCCAGACAACAAGCACAUCGGGCCCUCCAGCGGCCUCAACGCCCGUGCCCGGUGCGUUCCCCACGUCCGGAGUGGGACGCUCGUGGACCGAAGUGGUAGAAAAUGAACGCUCCUAAAGUGACUCAGAAGGACGGACCAUCGAGCCUCAGGCGCUCCGGAGGGCUCGCAAGAACCUCUCCCUACACAACGCGGCGGGCGACCCAGGUAGGGUCGAGUCCGCUUAGUUCUCGUGGCUGGAGGAGAAGAGGCGGUUGCUGGUCGACCAAGCUAGGCAGCCCUCACAUCUUACUGGGGAGCGAGGCAACGAUCACAACCUCGUAAACCUACACACCCAAUCUCCAGCGAACGCAGGAGGAGCCCAUGCCCCGGGAACACCGGGACAGUCGCCACAGGCGUAGCCGGGCUCCCGGAACGCUGCCUCGCGCCCGGCGUCCGAAUGUCAGCCCUCGCGAAGAUCGCCGAAGCUCCGGAGACAAGGGACGAUAUAAAAGCGGCCGCCAGGUGGCGCCCGACCACCGGCUCGAACGUCCCUGGGCCGGAUCCCGAUCGCCGAAAGGCGAGGGUGCAGUGCCGGCCGCCCAAACGUCCGAGCUCGUCUCGGGGAGUCCGCCUCGGAGCUAGCGACCGGCUCGGCACGACACGGCGCGACCCCGGCAGCAGACGGGAGACGAGGAGCUGGGAGGAUGGUGCCGGGAGGCUGCCGCGAAAGAGACGUGCUCUUCACGCAAUUCCUGGGCCGCCGGCCGCUGUAAACAAGGAAAAUUCUGCAGGGGGAUGGACUGCGUGAACUGUAAGCUGAAACCAUGAACGUACCAAUAGAAAACACGGACGACAUUUUAUUCUGUAAUUGCAGAGUGGAGAUGUUACUAAAACAUCAAAACCAGGGCCCAGAAGCCAUAAAGGAAACGAUUGAUAACUUGACCACCUAAUUGAUCUUUACAUAUUUCACAAGCAAAGUCAAAUGACAAGAAGUGGGUAGGUGGGAACAUUUGUGCAAAUACAUGUGUACUAAGAACAUUGAUAUCAGUAUUACUUAAGAACAGAACAUUUAGAAAACAGCCAAUGAGAGGGACCAGGUUAUUUCACACCACCCCUCAUGUGAUGCUCCUUUACCAUGAAUGUCACUCUGUAUUCAGAGUGUGCCCAUCUCUGUGAUGCACCUGAAAGGCGUAUGCCAAGUCAGCCCAGAGGAACAUUGGAUUUGACGUCAAACAGCAGAGACUUCACACUGGAGAAGACCCCACUGAAUGUAAUAAAUAUGAGGAGAUUUCACAUAGAACUCAACUAUCACGCCACAUGAGUGACCUCUCACAGGACAGAAACCCUAUGCUUGCAGUCAAUUUGGAAGAGCCUUCAACCUUUAUUCAUCGUUGAGUUAACAUAAGAUAAUUUAUACUGGAGUGAAACCAUGCAGGUCUCAUCAAUGUGGGAAGGCUUGCAGACAAUGCUGUAACCUUAGAUGACAUGAGAAAACUCACCCUGAAGUGUGCCCCUAUAUAUGUUAUAAAUGUGGAAGAUAGUUUAGCUGAAGCCUCACAUUUAAAUACACCAGAAACUCACACUGGAGAGAACGCUUAAUGUGAUAAAUGUGGGACACACUUCAGCAGAGCCUUAACUUUUAUUCACACUGAUGAACUCACAAGGUGAGAAGCCCUCUGUCUCAAAACACUGUAAAAUCUGGUGCUUCAAUUAUUCUAUUCCUUUUACAUUUUCACUUAAUGUGCCCCUCAUGACUUAAAAUUGAAUUACAAAUACAUUUAAUUUUUUCACAAAAUUCCUAGUCCUGGAGAAUAUUUGGACCCGGCCAUGAAAAUUCCAAGAAUUCAGUCAGGCAGGGGUUUAUUCCUGCAACAGAAUUUUUUAGCCAAAAUGUUUUUUCCCCCACCAAGAACAGAUAGAUAUGUCAGGACCAAGAAGGAGGAAGAUCAUUCCAGAAACACAACAUUGUAAAACAACUAUAUGAAAUAAAGUAAGAUAAAAAAAAAUCAUUGCAGAUAUGGAGAGUUCCAUUUUCAGAUUUGGAGAGGGUAAGGCCUGCCUGAUAAGGUCUGGCUCCUCUUCAGAUAAAUUGCUUUUACUUUGUUGGCCUGAAAACAUUCAUUAUAACCCUAUAGUCCACGGAUGUCUAAUGGGUGAAAGCAUGGUAUUGUAGGGGUCUAUAAAGCAUGGGAUGUUGCCUGCAACAUUUGUGUGUCUGUGCUCCUGUCUGUGUACAUGCACACUCACACACACAAACAUGCAAGCAAGGCAGAGAGCAUAUAGCAUCCAUCUGAUCCUAAAGAGAAAAUGUGAGUCUGGAAUCAAUGGUAUAAAUGUGUCAUCAGGAGAGAGAACAUCCAAGAUACCUUAGUCACUAAUUUAUCAAAUUUUCAAUUAUUAACAAACAUUUACUGAAAGCUUCCAGGAUUUCAGAACUUGGCUUGUUAUGAGGACUAAAUUGUAAAUAAUACAAUGUUCCUAUCUUCGUAGAACUCUACAUUCUAACGCAGUCAAUUCAAAUACACUGCAAUAUAAAAUUUCUGAUAUUGAAAAUCAAACAUACAUAAGGGUUUACAAAUUGUGUAACUACAAAAUGUUUGCUCCUAAUUUACAAAGAAAAGUUGCCACUUUAUAAAAUAAAAUUGAGAUUUAUAACAGUGUCAUUAUAGAACUUUGGAAGGCCAAAAAUUGUCAAAAGGACUGGGUUUUUAAAAAAUAUUUUACAAAAUUCUGAACCUUUGAAAAGUUAUUCUGCAAGAUUUGGGAAGAAUAAAGAUAGAUUUCCCUUUCUAACA